UACGUAGGUGGCAAGCGUUGUCCGGAUUUACUGGGCGUAAAGAGCGCGCAGGCGGUCGUUCAAGUCGCGUGUGAAAGCCCCCGGCUCAACUGGGGAGGGUCACGCGAUACUGAUCGACUCGAAGGCAGGAGAGGGAAGUGGAAUUCCCGGUGUAGCGGUGAAAUGCGUAGAGAUCGGGAGGAACAUCAGUGGCGAAGGCGGCCUUCUGGACCAGUACUGAUGCUGAGGCACGAAAGCGUGGGGAGCAAACAGG
rnacentral:rRNA from 1 species